rnacentral:rRNA from 1 species
AACGAACGCUGGCGGCAUGCCUAACACAUGCAAGUCGAACGAAGGCUUCGGCCUUAGUGGCGCACGGGUGCGUAACGCGUGGGAAUCUGCCCCUUGGUUCGGAAUAACAGUUAGGAAUGACUGCUAAUACCGGAUGAUGUCUUCGGACCCAAGAUUUAUCGCCAAGGGAUGAGCCCGCGUAGGAGUAGGUAGUUGGUUGGGUAAAGGCCUACCAAGCCGACGAUCCUUAGCUGGUCUGAGAGGAUGAUCAGCCACACUGGGACUGAGACACGGCCCAGACUCCUACGGGAGGCAGCAGUGGGGAAUAUUGGACAAUGGGCGAAAGCCUGAUCCAGCAAUGCCGCGUGAGUGAUGAAGGCCUUAGGGUCGUAAAGCUCUUUUACCAGGGAUGAUAAUGACAGUACCUGGAGAAUAAGCUCCGGCUAACUCCGUGCCAGCCGCCGCCGUAA